UACGAACGCUGGCGGCGUGCUUAACACAUGCAAGUCGAACGCUGAAGCUUGGUGCUUGCACUGGGUGGAUGAGUGGCGAACGGGUGGGUAAUACGUGAGUAACCUGCCCUUGACUCUGGGAUAAGCCUGGGAAAUUGGGUCUAAUACUGGAUACGGCAUGUCACCGCAUGGUGGUGUGUGGAAAGGGUUUUACUGGUUUUGGAUGGGCUCACGGCCUAUCAGCUUGUUGGUGGGGUAAUGGCUCACCAAGGCGACGACGGGUAGCCGGCCUGAGAGGGUGACCGGCCACACUGGGACUGAGACACGGCCCAGACUCCUACGGGAGGCAGCAGUGGGGAAUAUUGCACAAUGGGCGGAAGCCUGAUGCAGCGACGCCGCGUGAGGGAUGACGGCCUUCGGGUUGUAAACCUCUUUCAGCACGGAAGAAGCGAAAGUGACGGUACGUGCAGAAGAAGCGCCGGCUAACUACGUG
rnacentral:rRNA from 1 species